CAUUGUAAAGCAAUUAUACUCCAAUAAAGAUGUAAAAAAAAAAAAUCCCUUGAAGUUGGCAGGAAUAUCCAUUUGACAGAUGAGGCUUAGAGAGAUAAAGUGAUUUAUUCAAAGUCCACACAGGAAGCUGGUGGCAAAUUUAGGGGCCUCCUGACCCCCAGUUCACUCUGGCUUGCUGACUUGGAGAAUAAAACAGACUGCAGCAGGAAGCACUGUGGGGAAAUAUAAGGAAGAACUUCUCCCUGGAAAUGCUUAGAGGUCAUGGUUUAGGACUUUUUUUUUUUCCUUUUUCUGUCUCACUUCCUUUUAAGAUGAUUUGGGACAAAUUAGGACUGAGAGGUUGCUGGAAAAGCCUUCAAGACAUAGGGACCUCAGGAUGCUUUUGGAAGUCAGGGGGCUGGAGGGAGCUGUUGUGUGUCUGUGGGGGCUUAGCUCCUGUGUCUCCCCCAGGACAGCGGAGCUGGUCGCCUCUCAUUCUGUACGAAGGUGUGCUACGGCAUUGGAGGGGUCCCCAACCAGGUGGCCUCCAGCGCCAUAGCCUUUUACCUGCAACUUUUCCUGCUCGAUGUGGCCCAGAUCCCUGCUGCCCAGGUGUCACUUGUCCUGUUUGGAGGGAAGGUGUCUGGGGCAGCUGCCGACCCUUUGGCUGGGUUCUUCAUCAACAGAAGCAGAAGGACAGGGUCUGGACGACUCAUGCCCUGGGUGCUGGGCUGCACGCCGUUCAUUGCCUUGGCCUCCUUCUUCCUAUGGUUCCUGCCCCCCUUCACCAGCCUGCGUGGCCUCUGGUACACAGCCCUCUACUCCCUGUUCCAGGCCCUGGCAACGUUCUUCCAGGUGCCCUACACGGCACUGACCAUGCUCUUGACCCCCAGCCCCAGGGAGCGGGACUCGGCCACUGUGUACCGUGCAAGGAGACUGCGCUCCCAGGACAAGUGGCUGUCUCCCCCAACGCGACUCGUCUCUACUCCAUUGCAGCCACUGUGGUUGCUGUGACUUACCCCGUGUGCAGUAGUUUGCUCUGCCUGGGGGUGAAGGAGCGACCAGGUGCUUCUGCCCGAGCCGCCGGCCAGGGCCUGAGCUUCCUGGCUGGGCUGCGGCUCACAGUGCGGCACCCGCCCUACCUGAAGCUGGUCAUCUCCUUCCUGUUCAUCUCGGCAGCCGUUCAGGUGGAGCAGAGCUACCUGGUCCUGUUCUGUGCACACGCCUCCCGGCUACAUGACCAUGUGCAGAGCCUGGUGCUAACCAUCCUGGUCUCGGCAGUGCUGAGCACCCCGAUGUGGGAGUGGGUUCUGCAGCGAUUUGGGAAGAGGAUGUCGGCCUUCGGGAUCUUUGGGAUGGUGCCAUUUGCAAUCCUGCUGGCUGCUAUGCCCACAGCACCCGUGGCAUACGUCGUGGCCUUUGUAUCUGGCGUGAGCAUUGCCGUGUCCUUGCUGCUACCCUGGUCCAUGCUUCCAGAUGUGGUGGAUGAAUUCCAGCUGCAGCACCAGCACGGCCCAGGGCUGGAGACCAUCUUCUACUCAUCCUAUGUCUUCUUCACCAAGCUUUCAGGUGCAGGCGCCCUGGGCAUCUCCACUCUCAGCCUGGACUUUGCGGGGUAUGAGUCAGGAGCCUGCAAGCAGGCGGAACAGGUAGUGGUGACCCUCAAAGUCCUCAUCGGUGCCAUGCCCACCUGCAUGAUCCUCAUCGGUCUGUGCAUCCUCAUGGUCGGCCCCACUCCAAAGGUGCCAAGUCGGAACAGCUCCCGCUCCCUUGGGAGGAGGACCAGCUACAGCCUCGCUUGAAUUUGAGACUCCUGUGAGCUGGAACGGCCGGAGCAGCGUCUUCUGGGCUCCAAGUCCCCCUUCUCAGCCCUUCGGCACCCCUGCUUCACAGUUUACACACGACCCAUCUUUUCCCCUGGGAUAUGGCAUCUUUGGUGACUCUCCUGAAGGGAGUGGCCUGGGCUCCAGGACCCCCGCCUGUCACGUCUUGCCUGUUGACUGCAGGACAUCUCAGAUAGGCCUGUGCCCCUGACUACCCAGCUCCAGGCAACCUGUGACCUGGAAAGCAUACCAGUAGCAACUAUUCCUGGAAAAAGGAAGCCCCUACCAGCUUGGUCUGCAGACUUCCUUUGGGAGCACCAGGCCCACCAACCUGCUUGGAUGGUAAAGCUACAUGACAGGACAGACACACAGAACUCGUUUCCCCUGAUGUUCCACUGGAUGUCUGAGAGAGGCUGACAGCACGUAGCCCUGGGAGCAGAAGUCAAUCGAUUUUUUGUCUUCCUUUGAGCUCUGCUGAUUCCUGCUCGUUUGGCGUAAAAAGAUAGGCUGCAGCAGAUGUUCUCCAGCACUCCUCACACUCAACUUUAAGCCAAGAAAAAGAUUUAUAACAAUGCUGAGGUACCUUUUAAGUGCUUCUAAGGGCUUUAACACUGUUUUGGGUAAGGGACAAAAAAACCUCAGAGAAACCAUAAAACACAAUCCACAUGGCACCAUAAAAUCGCUUUGCACCGGGAAUUCUGCCCUUAGACAAAACCACACAGUAAUGAAUACAUAAAUAACCACUUUCUGAGCCAUCUACCAAAGACUGGGCUCUGCUGAGAGUAGGCAAUGUCAGCCUGCGGGGAGAGGUGGCCGAGCUAGCCAUGGCAAGUUCUUCACCUCCCAGCGACAGUACAAAUCCUAGCUGGGGAGCGUCGGAAAACAGAUCUUGCUUGUAAAAACCUCAUCUGAAAGGCUGUGCAGCAAAUAUUCUACAAACAAGUAUCAGACUAUACUGCCAAAAUGGUUAGAACAGCCGGUGGCAUCUACGCUUCGGGCAGUAUGUCUCUAAAAGACUUCAAGAGACAGGGCCCCUAAAGUCAUUUGACCUACCAUCUCUUAUGACUAUUUCCUGUGUGGCUGUGAAAGUUAAGGGGAUGAAGCCUUCGCUAUCAGCACAGAGAAGGAUCCAGUGGGAGUCUGCAAAGUAAAAUAAACACAUAGGCAAUUUAGAAUAUCCUGUCUUAUUCUAUAAAGAAAAAUAUGACAAAUAUGACUUUCCUGAGGAAAAGAAUGUAGUAGUUGAUGAACCUGACCAUCACAAGACAUUACAGAGAAUGGGGAGAUGGAGGGACCCGGUAUACACUUAAGGUCAGGUUACAUGGCAGCAAGGGGAUGUUGAUGACAGGCAUAGCUAAGGGACAUGUAUUUUCACCCAGGUUAGGCAUUAAUCACUCAGUGCUAUGCAGUUGAGCUUGUGUGUGCAUGUGUGCACACAGGUGUUAGGGGCGUAUGGUGUUCCUAACUUGUAUACCAAUACAUGCUGUUAAGCAGCUUCUCCAGACACUAUGUGAAGUUGGGAACAGCUACUCUUUGGAGGAAACUUCUAUAUUCUUGAGAUCCGUACCAGCCUCUAGACACCCAAGGAGGCUGAGCUGACUAGAGGUAGACUAGAAUGGCCCAGAUAAUCCUAAAUAGUUUGUUCUGGGGUAACCUAGGGCCACUAGCAUAAUACAUACCUGGACUUUCUCUGGUUCUUUCGAGUCUACUGUGUCUCACCUGUUGACCCUGUAAUUUCACUUCUAAAAAUCUACACUUUCCAAAAACAUGUAAAAUAUGCAGAGAGGUUUUUAUUACGGUUAUUUAUGAUAAUGAAAAAUUGGAAACCACCUAAGUGUCAAAGAAAACAUGGCCAAGUAAAAUAUGGUAUUAAAAGAGUAAAUCCUCAUCACAAGGAAAAAAAGUUUUUUCUAUCUAUAUGAGAUGAUGGAUGUUCAAUAACUUACGGUGAUAAUCAUUUCAUGAUGCAUUUAAGUCAAAUCAUUAUGUUGUACACUUUAAAUUUAUACAGUGCUGUAUGUCAAUUAUAUCUCAAUAAAACUGGAAGGAAAAAAAUAUAUGGUACGCCCAGGAUAGACUAUUAACCCAGUAAAAAUAACAGUUAUGAAGUCGUAUCAUAAAUGCAUGUGUCAAAAUAGAAAAAUGCUGAUGCUACAAUGUUAAGGGGGAAAAGAUGAAACAAAAUUCUAUGUUCAGUGUAGUGGGUGUCCUGAAGACUCAGGCAUAAGAAAACUGCCAUGCUCUCCAUUGGAUGGAACACAGGCAUGACUCAGUCCCUUGCCACCUAGGAGUACCCUUCAUGUCCACAAGUCUGCUGCAUAUUAAAAUGACAAUUCCUUUAAGAAAGAUUCUGUGGGAGUUCCCUGGUGGCCUAGUGGCUAGAAUUCUGGGCUUUCACUGCCAUGGCCAGGGUUCAGUCCCUGGUCGGGGAACUGAGAUCCUACAAGCUGCAUGGCCAAAAAGAAAAAAGAAAACAACAAGGUCUACUGUAUAGCACAGAGAACUAUAUUCAGUGUCCUGUGAUAAACCAUAGUGGAAAAGAAUAUUAAAAAAAAAAUGUAUAUAUAAAACACCCACCCACACACACAAAAGAAAUAUUCUGCAAUGCUGUGAUCUUUAUGUUUUAGUGCAACAAGUAUAUAUGAGGUUUUUAUGUUAUUUCCUUGCAGCUGUUAUAUAUUGCUUCAUAACUCUAUUUGGUUUUUUCAUGUGUACAUUUAGGUUUUCCAGCUAGGUUGUAAGUUCCUUAAGGGUAGAACCCAUAUUUUCCAUGUAUUUUGGCACCUAUAAUAGGCCUGGGCAUACAAUAGGCAAUUAAUAAUACUUUUUAACUAUCUAGUGAAUCACUGAAUGGUUGGUACACUUCAUUUUCCUCACCAGCGAAAGUUACAUAAUAGAGGGAGGGGGUGUCAGGUAGAGUCAAUUUCUGAAUUUUACCUACCAUGUAGCAUUUCAAUAAGAGAGAGGCCAAAAGUCUGCUGGACUGUACUGAGUCUUAGCUUGCCGUUGCAGAGAAGCACAGCUCUUUUUUCUACAACAGGACCUAAAAAAUAAGAUUUCUUCAAAUAUAAAAAUAAAAGUUGUUAAACUGAUUACAGAAGCAACGGAGUUAACAUUUCCUAAGAAUAGAAUGUGUAGUUUUAAAAAUUCCUAUUACCGCUAUCAACUAAACUUCAGCUUUAAAAAUAAGGAGCUUUUUGCUGCAUCAUUUAACACAACUAAAGAAUCAGACAAAACACAACCCCUAAUUUCCUUUUGCUCUGUUCUUCCCCAGCGUUAUGUCCUUAUUGCUAGGAACUGGCUUUCCUAGGACGUGACUAAUAACACUAUAGGAUGAUGGUUGGCAGCCUGAGAGAUAAAAUCUGAUGGUGAGGAACAACUGCUUGGCUGUUGUAGAAACAGGUGUACCUUGGAGAUACCGCAGGUGUGGUUCCAGACCACUGCAAUAAAGCUAGUAUCACAAUAAAGUGAGCCACAUGAAAGUUUUUGGUUUCCUAAUGCAUAUUCUAUAGUCCAUUUAAGUGUGCAGAUGCAUAUGUCUAAUAAAAUAAUGUACAUACCUUAA